GUAAUACAAGUGUUUAUAAGCAAGGGAAUGGAUUUGGGGAGUGUCCACCCAUCUAUAAAAUUAGCUCGAUCUUGACAAAAGUUUGUCAGUACUAAUCCCACAGUAAGACCGAGCACUGCCUAAAUAUUUAAAAUUUAAUUUGUAUUUAAGAUAAUUCGGGUUUGUGUUGAACAGCAGGAAACCAUGAAGAUAAUUGUGCUGCUUUUUGGCAUUCUUAUCGUCACAAUGGUUGCACAUGGGCAAUUAAGUUUCUGUUUAUUUAUGGACAAUGCUUGCACCCAAGACGAAGGCAUCCCCUGCGCCUGCACGGAGGGUCCCAACUUUGCUACCUGCAUCGCACCAGGCUCAAACGGUACCCAUUUCGAGAGAGGGUGUACUAUCCGUUUCUCAUGCGAAUAUAUUCCAGCCAACGCCUUUGGUGUUCGAACUUGCGAAUGUGCGUUAUUGUAAAAUUACGGAUGAAUAUUUAUUUAUUAAGGUUUAUAAUAAUUUCCACGAUAAAUUCAAUUCAACAAAUAAAUAAAUGUGAAUUGGUA